UAGUCUGGCCCCCCAACAGUCUGAGGGACUGUGAAUCGGCCCUCCACUUAAAAAGUUUGAGGACCCCUGAUGUGGACCAACUGCUGGAACAGGUUGUUUCUGUUUUUGCGAUGUUGUAACCCGCCUUGAGGCAUGAAGAGAGGCGGGUAAGAAAUAAAUUAUUAUUAGUCUUUUUUUUUUUGGGGGGGGGGGGCAAUAAUAUUUUCACA
rnacentral:lncRNA from 11 species